UAAAUGAUUAUCUCAAUUGGCC
rnacentral:siRNA from 1 species